UAGGGAAUCUUCGGCAAUGGGGGCAACCCUGACCGAGCAACGCCGCGUGAGUGAAGAAGGUUUUCGGAUCGUAAAGCUCUGUUGUAAGAGAAGAACGAGUGUGAGAGUGGAAAGUUCACACUGUGACGGUAACUUACCAGAAAGGGACGGCUAACUACGUGCCAGCAGCCGCGGUAAUACGUAGGUCCCGAGCGUUAUCCGGAUUUAUUGGGCGUAAAGCGAGCGCAGGCGGUUUGAUAAGUCUGAAGUUAAAGGCUGUGGCUCAACCAUAGUUCGCUUUGGAAACUGUCAAACUUGAGUGCAGAAGGGGAGAGUGGAAUUCCAUGUGUAGCGGUGAAAUGCGUAGAUAUAUGGAGGAACACCGGUGGCGAAAGCGGCUCUCUGGUCUGUAACUGACGCUGAGGCUCGAAAGCAUGGGGAGCGAACAGGAUUAGAUACCCUGGUAGUCCACGCCGUAAACGAUGAGUGCUAGGUGUUGGAUCCUUUCCGGGAUUCAGUGCCGCAGCUAACGCAUUAAGCACUCCGCCUGGGGAGUACNACCGCAAGGNUG
rnacentral:rRNA from 1 species